CAGUAACCAUGCGACCGGCAGGAAGAAGCCUCUGUACCCCGUCAUCUUCAAGGCAGACACCAGGUUUUCUGAGGCGUUGAGGUGUGUGUCCUGCACCUUCACCACCUGCAGAGGAGACCUGAUGGCCAAUCACCUGACAGAGAGACCAGAACACACCUGCAUCAUGCACACACACCACGGGCCGAAGAGUGUAAACGGAUCUGAAACACAACCAAUACACAACCCUCACAG